UGUAACAGCUCUAAUCUUCUGGCGCUCAAAUGACCUUAUGCAGUUGUGAGGGCCAUAAAACCUCUACUAAAACUUACUGACUUGACCAAUGUGCCGAGCUUGAGAUUUGAAUCUUAGAGAAGGAGUCUGAAUAUUUCUUGUCCUUCCAUCAAGAUUUUUCUCUCAACCUGCUGGUGUUCUAUCAGAGUACAAAAUGCUCUGCUUUGGAAGUGGUGCUUAUUGCGUCAAGGGAUGGGAGAGGGUUAAAACUUCAGCUUAUGGUAAUGAGUACAUUGUACGCAAGCUGUUAAUUUGCUUCUUUAGAUAUAUGGUGACUGCAAUGUUGAUUGCUAGUUGAUCAUUCUAGUGAUGUUUGUGAGGCCUGCUUGCACUCUUUAAGAUAGAUAGAUUUUUUUUUUCUAAUGAGGUUAUAUUUUUUUGUGCUUUUUGUUUUUGUGUUUUCUUUUGAAACCUCAAGAAGUAUUUAUGGAUAUAAUAAUUGAAAUACUUGUACGCUAUAGGGUUUUUGUGAUCUGUUUGGUUUGAAUUUUGAGAAGUUUAAUUGGAGCAAAUUUUCUCAGAAACAGGUUAUCUUAUAUUCAGAUUGGUCUGAUUUGUUGCAAUGUAGAAAGAGAAAUUGUUAGUCCAGACAGCUGGCAAACUAAUGAUAAUUUUGGAGUGACAUCAGUAGAUCCUUUUUUUCUUGUCCCUUUGUAGUUUCUGUCUUUCUCUUGCACUUCUUGUCCUUAAUAGUCUUUCUUGAUAUAUAUAUAUAUGUUAUAGCUAUCUUUUACUUUUCCUCCGUCUCCUUUAUGUUAUGAAAACAAUGUCACUCUGACAGUGCUGUUGUAUUAGUAGCCAACAUAGAGAUAAGGCCUGUUAUCUCAAGGACGUUUGCUAAAGCUAUAGAGUGCUGAAUGAAUGCUUGUCUCAAUAGGUCGUGGUGCUCAGUGGCAGUUUGUUCUCACAAUCGUUUUCUUUUUCUUUUGUAAAACAGAAGUGGUGGCUGGUUGCUUAGUAACUACUACAUCUAUGUGUCUUUUUUUUUUUUUAACAAACCAGCCUGCAAACAAGGAUUCAUUAAUUGUGAAAUUCUUGUGGAAAGUGUUGAAUAAGAAUAUAUAUAUCGGUUUCCUUUUACUUGCUGACAGGGUGAAAGAGGUGACUUGUUUAUUCUUUGCUUUCAACGAAAAUAUGGGCUGUGAUUAAAACAAGAAAAUCCAGACAGACUGUCUAUGACUAGCACAUUGCUGUUCAGAAAGAAAAAAAAGAAAAUGUCUUGAUAUCCUCUUAUUCUUAUUCUAUACGCAUUUAGUGCUUGUAUGACAACAGGGCUUGGGUAUGCACAAUAUCUAUGGAUGAUAUCUUUACCUUUACUCCACAGACGUAUUGCACUGGGGUUGUUUUUGUUUUUGUUUUUCAUUUUCCCCUUUGAUUUUCACUACUUUUGACUGCCCCAAUGUGUGUUUACAUGACAAUAUAAUAUUUACAUGAAAGGGCAUCUACCGAAUGACUGUAAAUAGCCCUUUUGGGUUUCUCUCAACGUAAAGAUUCAUUAUAAUUUUUGUAUUAUAUCAUGGUUUAUCUGAAAGGUUGAAUAUGUUUGAGUCCAUCCUUUCAUUUCUGUCAAGUCAUACGAUUAGUUCUGUUGAGUGAGAAUGAACAAUUUUGUCGGUAUUGUUUGAAGUUAACAGUACCAAUUCUUUUCGUACAAUAUGCCUGGUGUCCACUGAUUCAGUGCAUAUGUGAUUCCCAGAAGUACUGUGAGUUAAUGAAGGACGGAGAAGGAAUUUUUAUACAAUUGUAUUUUUUUGAUGGAAUGCUCACUCUGUAACUAUUGGUGACAUUGCUUCCGUGUUGAUAUGAACCCUAUUAGACUUUUUUGAGCAAAUCUGCAUAAUUCUAUUCUUAAAAGUAUUUUCUGGAAUAUUAUCAAGUAGCCUAUAUGAAGAGAUGAUAGUAUGUUUGAUGCAACCAAAAAUAAAAAAUUCUUCCGUUAGUAUGAGCAAGUUCAUAUUUGAAAGCUGCAUAAUUAAUUAAAUCUUAAUCUUAAUUUUGACACUUACCAGUGUUUAAUCUAACAACACCACAUGUCUUGUCUAAAAGAUGGCUUGAUGUAGCGAAAUCUGACUAGUGAAUGCCGCUUUUACUUGUCUUUUUUUUCUAUCUUUAUUAAAUAUCUUUAUAUUGCUGCAAAGGACUUUUGAAUCGAAUAGCCAGAAUUCAUCUCUAACAGCAGAUAGUCAGAUUGUUUGAGGGUAUCCUCCUCCACCACCCGGUUCCCUCCUUAUAAUUUGAUUCAAAUUUUUGGGGUCGCACCUUAAAAAACGAUUAUCCACAUUAUUAUGUACGAAAGGUUCUAUGACUUUUUCUGUUAGGAACCUCAGAGGUCUGUUGUGUCAUGUGACAAGUUCGAUGGUGUCGAGUGUAGAAUUAAAAAAUUUGAGAAUUUUCUUUGAAAGUUUGCCGAUUUCUAAUCUAAUCGCAGAGCAUUUUGCUCUUGUCACAUAGUAAAGUUUUAUCAUAGAAGGAUAGAAUAUUAUAUUCUAAAACUUUCUCAUAUUGCAUCAGAUAACAAAAACCAAGAUGCAGAACUGGUCUAUUUUUCUAGUGUCUUUUAAGUUUAUUUCAGCUUUUCUGGAGUUACGGCAAUUUGUUUUUAAUGACCAAUAUUAUCGUCUCGGUGACAAUUUGAUUGGUUACCUGACUGACAGAGAGGUUCUUGUCCAUGCCUUUUUCUCAGUUCCAGAGAUGAUGUUUCAUGUCUUUAUUGUACAAAAUGUCAAGAUAAUUUAUUAUUGUAAUAAAUACUGGACUUUAUCUCA